CUCCUACCACCACUGUCGUUGAGGAAGCUCACCGGAGUUGUUGGAGGCUGCUGCCGCUCUUUCUAGUUCUGUUUUGAGUUGCACAGCCGUGUUUGUGGCCGCCUGGGACAGUGUUGUGGCUGCCAGGAAUACCAAGGAUUUAGAAUUCGAAGUGAUGGGAACUUACAAGGAGAAAGGAAGGUAGAGUUGCAGCAAGCCAUUAUCAAAAUGGAAUAAGGAGGCAGUGCAGAUGGUAAUCUUCCAGGUAUUUUAUUUUGUAUAUAAUUUUUAUUCUAGAAAACCUCUGCAUUAUGUUAGGAAUAACAAGGAGUUGCAUCACUGUCAUGCUCAUUAGUACCAAACAUAGUUCAAGCUCGCAUACUUAUUGGCCUUUGAAGCUUCUGAAACACUAAAAGAAACUAAAGGUUAAAAUAAAAAGAGAAAACCAGAAACUAAAUAGGAGCUGUGUUUUGUAAAUUUUUAGUGCUUUCUUUUUGUGUUUAGGUUUUGUUGUAUGUAUGCUAAAGAGCUGUGUCAAAUUUGGUCUUUUUAUCACUAGGUAUUUCUUACUCAGUUGUUUUGUUGAGCAAAUUGAAAUUAAGCCUUGCUUCAUGAAUUGUUUAUUUUAAUUAUAAUUAAUUUAGUCUUUUUGUCACUAUUCCCCUUGUUGUGCUCUCUUCAUGUUCCUCUCUACUCGCGGUUCUUCGUGUUAGUCAGGUUCUUCUCUUCGCCUUGUUUUGCUCGCGUUCCUACUCUCGCCUUGUUAGCUUGCAUUAAUUCAGAAAAUUGCAUAGUACAAGAUCUGGUUUCGUUCUGCAUUUGAUCUGCAACCAAACUUGUUUCAUUUCAUUAGCUUGUUCCUGAAGAUGAAUGCGCAUGAUCAGUCCCUGGAUUUGGAGAAAUAGAUUCUGAUUCUGACAAUGACACAUAAAUCAUGUGUCUUCUCAUUACAAGAUCCAUAUUCAGAUUCAGAUGUUAGUAGAGAGAAUGUAGGGAAGAGGAUGAAGCAUGGGUUAAGAAAGCGCUUGUGACACUGUGAACUUCACAGAAGAAAAGAUGGGUUUGACGAGAGAACAACUAAACUAGACCUCUUGAUCAGCACCGAAUGUUCUGUUCCAAUAAGGAUACUCUUCAACCUCCUUUACACCCUCACGAGCUUCUUCAUCUCCGCACAGCUACUCUUCAACCUCGAGCUCCAACUCUCUCUCUCUCUCUGACACACACACACACACACACUGUUUUGAUUUUUUGACCUUUUUGUCUCAUCUUUCUUUGAUGCACAGCGCGAUUUCGAUGCGCCGCUCAGAGUGACGUUGCUUUCUUCUAGAGUGUUCCACUCGCCAGAGGCAUUUAGAUUGGACUACGAGAAGAUGGAGAAGGAGUUGAGGGUGUUUGUGUACCCUGACGGUGAUCCUGAGACCUAUUUCCACACGCCGAGGAAGCUCACCAGAAAAUAUUCCAGCAAAGGUUAUUUCUUCACUGCCGAUUCUCUUCAAGCUCACCUCUUCUUCAUUCCUAUUUCUUGCCACAAAAUGCGAGGCAAGGUAUGCAUGCCCUAAUUUCACCUCCAAUAAUGAUUUGCAUAAUUCUCAGGGGUUAACUCACAUCUGACAACAAGAAACCUCUUCAAUUGUGCAAUAUAUUUUCUGUUUUUAUUUAUUCAAAUCAAUUUUUGGUUGGUUAUUCUUGUAUAACAAAUAGUUGAAAUGUCAAAUGUUCACAAAUCACAACUUUUAGGUUGAAAUUGCUUAAUACAUAUAAAGCCAAUUUUGCAUUUGUGGAAGAUUUUGGGUGCCACUUGUUUUCACAAUUCUCAUAAUUGAUUCUCAAAUCACGUAAUCAUUGAGGAGAACUGUUAAUUUGUACAUAUCUAAGCCUGAAUAAAAUUAUUCAAAUAUUAGCAACAGAUAAUAAAAUAUCGAAUAUGCUUAGCAGAUAGCACUACACAUGAAUUCAACAACCUAGUGUCUAGCAUAAUUAUGAUAUAAGAGUCUAAUGCGCGCAUGUGAAGUAUGCAGGGGUUGACUUAUGAGUGUAUGAUUUAUGAAGUUGGGAAGUAUGUGGAGAGCCUAAAGUUCAAGUAUCCUUAUUGAGUGCUGAUCACUUUUUUGUGACUUGCCAUGCUGAAUAAUGACUAUAAGAAAAUUAGACCUCUUGAUCACUAGUGGUGUAAGAUUUAAAUUACAUAAAUUUAUUUUAAUUUUUUCAAUCUGAUAAUUUAAAUGUGUUGAAAUUCAUGCCUUUCUCCAUUUGCAGUUAAAUGGAUAUGUACUAUGCCAAGAAUGUGCCAUUGGAGAUUUUGCCCAGAUAUAAUUAUCAUGGUAUGUACAAGGAACAAGCUACUAGGAUUUGGAAAAAAAUAUAUCUAAGUCAAUUGAUAAAACUUGAAAUAAAUAUAUAUUUAGCUUUUUUAUUUUGAGUCCAUGUAUUUCGUUUAGAGGUUUAGAGGUCUUAUUUAAUUAUCUUUCCAUGUUUUGAUGUUUUCAUAUUGAAUUAGAGAUUGUUACAUGAUAAUGUAUUUGAAAUAUUUUAACUUGAUAAUAUAUAUCCAAGUAGAAUAA